CACGGGGUUAGUAUCUUGCCCAAGGAUAUUUGGCAUGCAGCCAGGAGGCAGCCUGGGAUCGAACCACCGACCUUCAGAUUAGUGGCUGACCUGCUCUGCCACCUGAGCUACAACCACCCAUAAUCCUCUUUGGAUGAAACUUUAUUAUUGUGGAAGAUUUCAAAUGUUUCCAUGAUAAAUUCUCUCAUUUUGUAUUUUUACAUCUGCUUCUUUUUUUAACCUUCACUUUGUCAACUUAUUAUUAAUUGCCAGUAAACCUAUUAUUAAUUUGUGUGCCUUUACUUUAAAAACAUUCAUGUAAAGUACACUAUUAAAACUUAAAUGAAGGACAAGGGCUGAAUGAAGAUGCUAAUUACAUACAUUUCAUUUCAGUGUGAAGAUGUUGAUGCUGAGUGUGUCAAGGGAGUGUGUAUCUACAUGGGUGAAGACCCUGGCAUGCUUAUCCGGGAGUAUGUGGGCAUGGAACAACGUGCCAUCAGUGAGACUGUUGAAGACACCACUGUUUGAAUUUAUCUUCUUAAAGAGCAAGCUUCAGCAGAUGAACAAGAGUUGUCCUUGCAGGCAUCAGGGUGGCGAAGACUUUGGAUAAUGUAGCAUUUGCUGUGAUAAUGCUAUUUGGACUAAUGUAUGCAUUAAACCUUGCCUACCCUGCGGACCUUCGCUACAACUUUGACGUUUUCCAGAAGGUUUUCAUGGAACUGGAUGGAGCUAAACUCUCUAAAGUUCUUGCUUUCAAAAACCAUCUGUUUCAUUGAGAAGUCAAAGACUGCACUUCUGCAAUUCUUUGCAGUUUUUCAUUUUGUGUUCAGUAACGUUAUACUGCUUAUGUUUUUAUUGCUUUCCCCUCAUGUGACUGCAAUGCAGGAUGAUUUUUCCUUUUGGUAUCAUGUUCUAAGAAAUUUUUACUGACGAUUUUUAGCAAUAUGUUCUAAGUCAACCUUAAUGUCCUGCUUAAUGAAGAUUAAAAUUCAUGUAGGUGUUUGGUAUUAGUUAUGUAACAAUGUCAUUUAAGGCUCAACUUAGUUGAAAUCUUGUACAGGUAAAUACUUGUACAGAAGCUGAAACUGUUGUCAAAUAACACACAAGUUAUAUUUGUGUAAAUCUGUUUAUUCAUAAUAGCGUGUUGCUUUUUUUCAGGUAGUCUUAAUUUAGUUUACAUUUUCAAUUGUGUAAUUAAUACAAAUGUUAUAUGUAAGAGAUGACAGGAUCAUCUAUAAGCACUUUCUUUUAUUUGCUGCUAAGGUCAGUUUUUUGUGAAAUAUUUGCAAAUAUAUUCUCAAACUAACUUUUUCUUUUAGUUAUUUCUGCAGGCUAUCUUUAAAAAUGUGUUAACAAGUUUAUAUGGAU
ensembl:lncRNA